CUGAGGACCUGGGGGAUCAGGACAAGGCCAAACAAAUCCAAGAUCAACUGAAUGAGCUGGAGGAACGGGCAGAGGCCCUGGACCGCCAGCGGACCAAGAACAUAUCCGCUAUCAGUUACAUCAACCAGCGGAACCGGGAGUGGAACAUUGUAGAGUCUGAGAAGGCCCUUGUGGCUGAAAGUCACAACAUGAAAAACCAACAGAUGGAUCCCUUUACUCGGCGGCAGUGCAAGCCUACCAUCGUUUCUAAUGUGAGUGCUGAAAGAGG
rnacentral:lncRNA from 1 species